rnacentral:rRNA from 1 species
UACGAAGGGGGCUAGCGUCGCUCGGAAUCAUUGGGCGUAAAGAGGGCGUAGGUGGCUUGGUAAGUCAGGUGUGAAAGCCCAGGGCUCAACCCUGGAAGUGCAUUUGAUACUGCCGAGCUUGAGUGUUGGAGAGGUUACCGGAAUACCUGGUGUAGUGGUGAAAUACGUAGAUAUCAGGUGGAACACCGGAGGCGAAGGCGGGUAACUGGCCAAACACUGACACUGAGGCCCGAAAGCGUGGGGAUCAAACAGG